UAUCUUAAAUUCGAUCAGCACAGAAUCAUGCGUUCAGUUAUACUUCAAAUGUAUACAUUGACAGAUGGAUGUAGUUUAAACGGAUUUAAAUGAUAUUCUGGUAUUUAAAUAGUGUUCCUACAACUGAUUUAACGUAGACCAACACUCUACAAAUAAUGAGGAGUGAACGCAAAACGGUAGCAAACAAGUCCAAACAACUUACACGAUUCUUUAGACUGAAUAUGAUAUUGAGUCAGGCGAUAUGUUUUUUUCCAUAUGGGCUAAUACCAGACAUGCGGUCCUGAGAUGUUCG